AGUGUGGUUAAUGAUGACUUCUCUUUCCCCGACUUAUCGACCUUGCUGAUACAGAUGUUUACAAUAAGCCAAAUUUAAUCUGAAACCACACA